AAAGCACUUCUCUAGUCAUCAGUAGUAAGUUAUUAGGAAGUAUACUUUUGGCUGUAAUUUCCUUUUAGUCCUUUUCAAGGUAUGACAAUAUAAAGUGAAACCCAAUGUGUAUGCUGCAAUUUAUUUCCUGGACAAGUUAGCUGUGAUCAAUAAGACAUGAGGGCACUGACUGGAAUACUAUGGCAUGCUAAAGAUGUGUAAUUUCCUAUGAUUUGUUAGUUCAAAAGCUGGUGCUCUUAAAAGUCUGAAGUCCAUAUAAUUGCAUCAUAAUGCAGCUACAUUUCUGGUAUUACUUUAUACCCCUGAGAUGUGACUGCCUUAUCUUUGUUCUUGUCUCUUAAGAUUGUUUCAUCUCUUUAUUCUAGUGCUCAUAUCUGUGUGGCACAGGCUCAUUUAUUUUGUUUCAAGUCAUUCACCUGAAUGGGUUUUACGGAGUCAUGAUUCAGAAAACAUGGGCUAUUAGUAUCAUGACGGCUGCAGUAAACAUAUUGCUAGGAAUUUGAUUCUUGGCAGUUUGGACUUAAGUCCAGGAAGUGAGACUUCUAUCUAGAGAAGCUUGUACUUUGAAAUUACAGGGCAUCAUGUUAGAUUUUGUCUUAUAUUGUCAGAUGAUUUUUAUUUUUAUUUGCUGUAUCAAUUAGCAAGCAAGGUCCAUCUUCCAUUGUUAUCUUUGUGCAAUGGGCCUGCUCGUUUUCUUUUAGACAUUGAAGGACGUAUGUCUAUAUGCUCUUGUAUUGCUGAUACUGUGGAAAUUUGUACAUGGAUUGUUAGCUUUUUCUGUUCCUUUUUUUUUCUUUUGCAGAUUGACUUCAUGAAAGUGUGAACUUAUAUCCCCUAUUACGAUGAAUCAUCUCUUUAUCAGCUCCCUCUCAGAAAAUGAAUGCCCCCCCUCGUCUAUUAACUUAACAACAGAACAAAGAUAAUGGGGAAAUUCCAAUUCUCGCUGGAAAGAUUAGUCAUCCAGUUUCAUACAUGCUAUUAGUGUUCAUUCUCUCUUUCCCUGCACAACUUUAAAAAUGCUUUGGCAUCUUGAUCUUUUCAUGAAUUCCUUUUUUUUCAUUUUCAUUGCAUUAGCAUCUGAUGGACUACUAUCAGCUAUUACUGCACUUGUUUCCUGUUUCCACCAUGAUUACUGCACAUAUUAAUACCUCUUCAUGGUCUGUAUAGCCUUUGUGAAUCUACUUGACUCAUCGUCAACUGUUGGAAUUUAUGAAGGAGAUGGACUUUUUGAUACAAGCAUUAUGACAACGAGUACAAGAGAAUGCUAUCAAGUGAUUAUGAAGAUUGGGCUGUCGGCAAAAGUAGGAGCAUUGGGAGCAGCAGAAAACGAGUGGAAGUGAAACUCACUACUAUACUAACAUACGAGGAUUUGGGUUCAAAUGAUUUCUAGUCUAGAUAAUACAUAUAAUCAUUUAUCAGAGUAUGAUAAAAAUGCAUUAGCAUUCUGGUUA